rnacentral:misc_RNA from 1 species
CGCACAUUGCGCCCCUUGGCAUUCCGAGGGGCAUGCCUGUCCGAGCGUCAUUACUACCACUCGAGCGUAGCUUGGUAUUGGACCAUGUCGGUGACGGCAGGUCCUAAAUUCAGUGGCGAUGCUAUAGGGCCUCAAGCGUAGUAAAAACAACUCGCUACGAUACCUUGCAGCGAUCGACCAGCAACACUCAAUUUAUAUGGUGGACCUCGGAUCAGGUAGGAAUACCCGCUGAACUUAA